rnacentral:misc_RNA from 1 species
GCAAACUUGGUCAUUUAGAGGAAGUAAAAGUCGUAACAAGGUUUCCGUAGGUGAACCUGCGGAAGGAUCAUUAUCGAGUUUUGAAAGCGUGGAGAGGGGCUUGUUGCUGGUGUGCGGAAACGCGCGCAUGGUGCACGGUCUUCGCGCUCAAAUCCACUCAAUUACAACCUGUGUGCACCUUACCAGAGUCGAAGUCAAGUAGGCUGAUCCGAGGCGGGCUCGCCCGUUAGUUGUAGGAUCGGGCGAAGACUUUGAGGCUCUUAUUACAAACGCUUUUGUUGUUUUGUGAAUGUGUUGAUGCUAUAUAAAUACAACUUUCAACAACGGAUCUCUUGGCUCUCGCAUCGAUGAAGAACGCAGC